rnacentral:rRNA from 1 species
AUUGAACGCUGGCGGCAGGCUUAACACAUGCAAGUCGAGCGGGGAAAGGUAGCUUGCUACCUGACCUAGCGGCGGACGGGUGAGUAAUGCUUAGGAAUCUGCCUAUUAGUGGGGGACAACAUCUCGAAAGGGAUGCUAAUACCGCAUACGUCCUACGGGAGAAAGCAGGGGACCUUCGGGCCUUGCGCUAAUAGAUGAGCCUAAGUCGGAUUAGCUAGUUGGUGGGGUAAAGGCCUACCAAGGCGACGAUCUGUAGCGGGUCUGAGAGGAUGAUCCGCCACACUGGGACUGAGACACGGCCCAGACUCCUGCGGGAGGCAGCAGUGGGGAAUAUUGGACAAUGGGGGGAACCCUGAUCCAGCCAUGCCGCGUGUGUGAAGAAGGCCUUUUGGUUGUAAAGCACUUUAAGCGAGGAGGAGGCUACCGAGAUUAAUACUCUUGGAUAGUGGACGUUACUCGCAGAAUAAGCACCGGCUAACUCUGUG